rnacentral:rRNA from 1 species
AUUGAACGCUGGCGGCAUGCUUUACACAUGCAAGUCGAACGGCAGCACGGGUGCUUGCACCUGGUGGCGAGUGGCGGACGGGUGAGUAAUGCAUCGGAACGUGGUCCUGAAGUGGGGGAUAACGCAUCGAAAGAUGUGCUAAUACCGCAUAUUCUCGUGAGGAGGAAAGUAGGGGAUCGAAAGACCUUAUGCUUUUGGAGCGGCCGAUGUCUGAUUAGCUAGUUGGUAGGGUAAUGGCUUACCAAGGCGACGAUCAGUAGUUGGUCUGAGAGGACGGCCAGCCACACUGGGACUGAGACACGGCCCAGACUCCUACGGGAGGCAGCAGUGGGGAAUUUUGGACAAUGGGCGCAAGCCUGAUCCAGCAAUGCCGCGUGAGUGAAGAAGGCCUCGGUUGUAGGACGUCUUUCUACGUGUAGAAGAAAAGUACGUAGUACGUAA